GACGUAGGGCGCGAGCGUUGUCCGGAAUUAUUGGGCGUAAAGAGCUCGUAGGCGGUCUGUCGCGUCUGCUGUGAAAACUCGGGGCUUAACCCCGGGCCUGCAGUGGGUACGGGCAGACUAGAGUGCGGUAGGGGGGACUGGAAUUCCUGGUGUAGCGGUGAAAUGCGCAGAUAUCAGGAGGAACACCGGUGGCGAAGGCGGGUCUCUGGGCCGAUACUGACGCUGAGGAGCGAAAGCGUGGGGAGCGAACAGG
rnacentral:rRNA from 1 species